AUGAUCUUGUGAGAAGUCUCCCUGCAUCAUUCUUGUGGGCUCCCUUCAGGUACUGGAAGGCCACAAUUAGUCACCUUGAAGCCUUCUCCUUUCCAGGCUAACAAGCACAAUUCCCUCAGCCU